GCAGGCUUCCCGCAGCAGGCGGGCGCAAGUGCAGCUGCCUCGAGUCCUGCAGAACAGAUGCCAGUCGGGGGGCUGCCCUGGGCGUGGGGGGCAAGGGGCGCGGGACACGCGGCCUGAGGAGAGUGACUCUGGACCUCACCACCCCCGGGAGUGGGGAGGAAAGAGACAGCCGAGGAUGCACCCUGGAAGGACCUGGAGGGACAGGCAACCUGUGCACUCCCCCAACCCCACCCCAAAAAUCUACAACUGGCUCCAGGGAGGCUGCUGUGGGGACAUCGUCCUGACCUGGCGAGCUGCCAGGGCUGCAGAGGUGAGCAGCUGCCCACAGGGCACGGGGACACAUAGGGGGCUGGGCCCCUGGCCGGGUUCCCAGGGCACUGGCACCCUCCAGCCCCAAGACCUCACAGCACUAGGGCUGGGCAGAGACUCAGCUAGUGCCCUCCUGCUGCCACAGCCUCCCUUCCCGGGCAGCCCCUGCCCCUCCAAAGCGUCUCCAUUUCCUGGAGAGGCUGUUUUGGGGGGCUGGGGUGUAGACCAGGCAUAGGGCCUGCAGGGCUGAUCACUCCUGAGUGAGGAGGUGGAGCUUGAGCGCAGCAGGGAAGUAGCCUGAGGAGGAAGCACCCUGAGUUCCCAGGAUAGCCACCCGCCUCCGCAGCUGAGAGCCCAGAGUCACAGGGUUUGGACAACGGGGGGUGGGUGGGGGUGUUCCCUUCCUUUGGCCUGUACACCAGUCCCCAGGAGGAGCCCGCCUGGUGACACAGGCCAGCGCCCCAGCUGGCUGGGGACUCGAGUGGAGAUGGGACCUUCCUGGGAUGCUGGACAGUCCUCCAGGCUGCCCCACAGUGACCCCACGUGCUUCUCUCUGCACCCAGGAAGCACCCCACCCGCGAAGCUCCAAGAGGCCCAGAGGAAGAGCCCCAGAGAGCCCUGGCAGCUUCGCCUGAGCCCACUGCAGAGAGGAGGAAGCCGAGGUUGGGAUGAGCCUGCUGGAGGCAGGGCCUGGGCGGGCAGGGGUGCUUUGUCACAGGCCAAGAUGCCUUUAGGAGCUAAGCUGGGCCCCAUUGGGGCACCAUGCCCAGAAACUGCCUUCCAGCCUGGCUGGCGGGUGCUCCGGGACCCCUCCCCCCGGGGCCUCCCCCUCCCCCAGGAGCCCUUCCGCAGAGGAUGGAGAGACUCUCCCGUCCCUGAGCUUGGGCACCUGGGUGAUGUCUGGGCUCCGGAGUCUCCCAGAGUGAGCAGAAACACCCACGUUUGUCUCCGGGCAUCCUGGCCCAGGGGGACCAAGGGCACCGAGGCGGCGGAGAUCGUGUUGGUCAAGCAGCCGGAGCCCAGAGCCGGGGCCCUGUGCCAGGAACGGUGAGGCCGGGUGGGCCCAAGCCCAGAGGCAGGACCAGUGGUGGACCAGGCAGGACCGGCAGCACCUCCGCUGCUCCAGCCACCCUUCAAGGUCAGGAACCCCAUCCCAGCUCUGCCAGCCCCGCGCCGCCCCUGCUCCGCCCCUGCUCCGCUCCUGUCUCCACUGGCCUGAUUAUGAUGCACACAUUACAGUGCACCCCAUCCCCACAAACACGAGGUAUUGGCAGGGUCCAGUGUCUGCCUCUCACCCCCCACAGUGAAGGAACCAGCCCCAAGGGGGAGAGCCCGACAGACCCCCAACAGGAUGUGGGAUCAGAAAUUGAGGCUGCUGCCCCCUGUGCCCAGGGGACCUGUGGAGCCGUGAGCACCCAGAGGCGGAAGGAAACCAGCAGAUGCUGCUGCCAGUCAACCAGGGGGUCUCCAGAGUGGGGGCCACAGAAGGAGACCCUGAGUGCAUAUGGGGAACAAUGGGGGUUUGGGGGGUCCCCAAGCCUGCUCGGGCUGGUGGUCAGCCUUAUCCAGCCAGGGGCCCGGGGUGGGCAUCACUGAGCAUGGAGAUCGUGGACCAGCCACUCCUGAGCAAAUAUGAAUUUUAAAAUAAAAUUACCUAGUUGGGAAAACAAUGCAGAUUGGUUUUGAUCAAUUCAAGCAGAUACGAGUAAAACCCGACUAUGCCCAAGAGGUCAAGGGUGCCGGCCUUCGACAAUCUCGUCCAAAAAGCCUUCCUCUAAAAUUAUCUAUUAAAAAGCUUUGCAUUUUUGCGUUAAUUUUCUCUUAAGGAUUUCGAUUCAGCCUCAUCUCUGUGGACACGAACUCUGUAGAGAGUCACCGUUUUUACAGGUAAGUUAUAAGCACGUACUCAACUCACACUCGCUGGUUUGGGGGUGUCAGGAGAAGGACAAAGGCAGCCACUUACUCAGCGGGUUCCACAUGCUCAAAACCACAGUUCAUGGGUCUUGUUUUGUUGCUAUUAUUUAUGUGAAGUUCGGUGUGUGAGAAUGCAAUCCCUGUCUCUGGUAUGGUGAACACUGCAACUGUCUUAAGAUUCUGAAGCUUUGGGUUUCUCAGGACUGCCCCCAAAAUCUUCACUAACACCCUGGGCACUGCCUUUCCAGCACCAGCUGUCAAGAUUUGACUUUAUCCUCAGUACCUUCCAGGAAGAGGCCUUUUCAUGUCAGCCUCCCCCCAAAAGUGUCUGGGGUGCCUAGGGAACCCACUGAAAUUUCAAAAUUGAAAUAAUUCCCCCGAGCUUUGCAACAUUCAUUUUGGCACAAGCCCAGCGCCACGUUGAAUUAACAAAUACCCAGUAAAGAAAGCACUUUUACCACAU